rnacentral:tRNA from 1 species
GCGCCCGUAGCUCAGUGGGACAGAGCACUGGUCUUCGGAACCAGGUGUCGCGGGUUCGAAUCCUGCCGGGCGCGCCA